CACCGGCAGCUCAAGUGGUAGCCGCUUUUAUUGGGCCUAAAGCGUCCGUAGCCGGUCUGAUAAGUCUCUGGUGAAAUCCCACAGCUUAACUGUGGGAAUUGCUGGAGAUACUAUCAUGACUCGAGGUCGGGAGAGGCUGGAGGUACUCCCAGGGUAGGGGUGAAAUCCUGUAAUCCUGGGAGGACCACCUGUGGCGAAGGCGUCCAGCUGGAACGAACCUGACGGUGAGGUGCGAAAGUGUGGGGAUCAA
rnacentral:rRNA from 2 species